AUAUCGUAACUUUGAGGGUGUGUGAAGUGAAAAACCCUAAAUAGCCACAGAGUAGCCUCACUACACUCACCCUGCCGCCCUCCUCUCUCUUCUCUCAAUUUCUUCACUUCUUCUCCCUAUAAGCUUCCGGCUCACACCAGAGUGAAGGUUCGGCUUGGGGUUUGGUUCCUUUGUUUGUCGUUGUGUUUUAAUAAUAAUUUCAUUAGUGUACUUUGGUAAUUUGGUUAUUUCUGGCCUUGGUUGA